rnacentral:snRNA from 1 species
AAAGUGUAGUAUCUGUUCUUAUCAGCUUAAUAUCUGAUAUGUUCCCUAUCUGGGAGCUUCGAUAUUAAACUGAUUUUUGAACUUGGGUGAAGUGUCAGGGCUUGCUCCACCUUUACCAUGGGUUGAC